rnacentral:rRNA from 1 species
UACAGAGGUCCAAAGCGUUGUUCGGAUUCACUGGGCGUAAAGGGUGCGCAGGUGGUCGGGUAAGUCUGACGUGAAAUCCCGCAGCUUAACUGCGGAAUGGCAUUGGAUACUAUUCGGCUAGAGGGUUGGAGGGGGGACUGGAAUUCUCGGUGUAGCAGUGAAAUGCGUAGAUAUCGAGAGGAACACCAGUGGCGAAGGCGAGUCCCUGGACAACUCCUGACGCUGAGGCACGAAAGCUAGGGGAGCAAACAGG